UUGACUGUGUGCAGCUUUCAUCUUCACCCCAGCUCCAGAUUCCUACCUCUGAUGGCCAUGGGGACAGGGCAGGAGAGGGGCAGAGGCCUGAUUUGAGUAAAAGUUUGAGCCUUGAGGAAUUUUGCCUCCUACUGCCAUCAUUCCACCAUUCGAGCCUUCCUGUGGCCUCCACCUUCUCACUCUGCAAGUUCCUGGGACCUGCCUUCCUGGGCUGUGUGCCACCGCUGUGCCCUUCUCUGAAGCGACAUUGUCUCCCCCUCAACACGCAACCUCCAUUUAAUAGAUGAGAAACGGACAGUGGAAUAGGAAUCCAGGGACGAGGAAAUCCCAGAUGAACACAAGCUAACAACUACGAGAUACAAGUGACUGCCGGAUACACAGGAAAUCCAGUGCCUUGAGUGAAAAUCAGCAGAAUGAGAAACUGAGGGCCAGAGAGAGGAAGAGACUUCCAGAUGGACCUUGAGUCUCAGCACCUCGGCAAGUGUGUUCUCUGCUAAACCCCAUGAGCUGCCUGCAGAGCUCACUAGGACCUCUUACACGCGGUGUGGGUUGUGUCACAACAUGCAAACCACAGCAGAGAUUCCAGCCGCUCACACUGAAAAGAAACACAGUCCUUCAAAAGACUGACCCCUGAGCUCAACACAAACGCAAGGUGCUGUCUCUCUGGAAGGAAGACCAGCCCCCUGCACCAGGCCUGGCACAGGCAGACUCCUGCAAUUUGGUGGGGUCCCCGGGGUGGGGUGCAGAUGUGCUUGCAGCGUGCAGAAGGCCCCGCAUGGGUGAGAGCCCGCAGCCGGGUCCCAUCCCUAAUGCUGCUGCCAAGUGACCGCAGGCCUUGAUGAGCCUUCUGAGUCCGGCGUUUCAGGUGGAAAGUUCCCCACGGAGUUGGACCUGACGACAUUUUGUGAUUUGAACUGCUGAGCAACUAAACCUGUUAAGUCCUGGGGUAGGCAAGCUGCUCCCCAGCCACCUGGCCCAGAAGGGAGCCAAGAGAAGAGCCAGCUUUAUGUUAGGCAGAAGAGGGAGAGGACCCCGGCCGCCCUGCACUGGGGCUCUGAAGGUCAACAAAACAGCUGCCAGCACAUGGCCUGCCAGCGUUGCACACACACCCGCCGGCAUUGCACAAUACCUGCCAGCAUUGCACACACACCCGCCAGCAUUGCACAUACACCCACCGGCAUUGCACACACACAUGAUGGCAUUGCACACACACCCGCCGGCAUUGCACAUACCCACCAGCAUUGCACACACACCUGCCAGCAUUGCACACACAUCUGUUUGGGGCCGAUAGGGUCUGGGUGAG